UUAUAAUUUGAAAACAAUUUGAACUGAUAUUCAAGGAAGUAAUUGCAUCAUGAAACCGACGACACUCCAUAGAAAAAUCGGAAUAAAAAGUGAUCAUCAGUUACCACAAUUUUAGUGACCCCUUGUUAUUGAUCAAAAUAAUGUUCGUGGGCAAAACUGUUUUAGUUGCUACAAACUAGUUUCCAAGGAACCUUAGCAUAAAUAAACAGACAGUUUCAAAAAAAUACGGAAAACAAAAAUAUCCUCGAAAAUGAAAGUAGUGCAUCAAAAUCUGAAAGCAAACGUGAACUCAAGACUUCUUAGUUCUAUAAAUCCCAAAUCUCAAGCAUUAGAGACGCCGCAACGUGAAAAACAACAAGAAAAGCACAAAAACACUUAUUUUUUGGAACAGUUCUUCUUCGAGUAUUUAGAAAAAAUGAACUUUCUGAAGUUCACUUCUAAUAAAGAAAAUCGCAAGGUAAGUGCAAAUAAAAAUAAGGGAUCAAUGAUUCGCAUUAGAGGUCGUUGGACAUGAAAGCUGAAGAGAAAAUGAGAUGACAGGAUGCAGAUUGAACAACUACAUAACUUCUGGCACAACGAAACAGGUUUAAGAUAGCGAAAAAAGGAAUAUUAGUAAAAAAUUGUGUUGAUAUAUUCAUAAGUUUGGUUUCUUAAUGUACCACUCAUAUACUAUUAUGAUUUGAUUUAUAGUUUUCGUGCACAAGAUAAAAACAAAACUUCGCUUGCAUAUGAAGAU